GAUGGCGUGGCCUAGUGGUUAAGGCUCCUGUCUUUGAAAACUGGGUACCAGGGUUCAAUUCCUUUGGCGGCU
rnacentral:tRNA from 1 species